GGCUAUAGCUGGAGAACCUUUGUCCGGAUGUGGAGACAUCGCGGCUAGGUGAGGCGGAGACUCCACGAAGUCCCAAGCGAGGUGACGAGGUGCUGGAUGUUUUGUGUUACGUUUGGAACGCAUUUAGAAUGUGCGAAUUGUCACUCCCGCGUGCUGCAGGACUUGGACAAAGCUGGAAUUGCAGAAAUUGGAGACAGUGGAGGAACUACUCGACUUUGACGAGUUGAUUAAAAACUCAACCAAACAAGAAAGAUUUGCUGCCCCUUCCCCCAGUGUAUGCUAAACACAGCCAGGCUCUCAAAGAUUGGUGGAUAUGACUUAAAGAGCUGUUUAAGCACCAUCAUGGACAGGCUCAUGACAAAUUAAUUAAUGUCCAAUCUGAACAUGAAGGGGAGAGGGGGAAAAACUGCCUUUGCCGAGACAACGCUGCUUGAUGUAGUCACAGCUAGUGUCUUGGAUACCCAGAAGGGGACCGAAACGAUGGUCCACGAUGCCAUAAAAAAUAAACUGAAAUGUGCCCCUGGACAGAAAGGUGGAAUAGGAUGGGCAUCACAGGCUAAAUAAAUAAUUAUAUAGAUUGACAUCCUCCAUUUUCUUUGUACUUAAUUGUAAUUUUGCAUUAACAGGAUUCAGCCUGGAGCUAUAUAUGCACUAUGUUUUGUUGUCUUUAAUUAUAUUGAUAUAUUGGUUGA